rnacentral:rRNA from 1 species
ACUAUUGUCACGGGUUACCGCGGCUGCUGGCACGGAGUUAGCCGGUGCUUCUUCUGUGAGUGAUGUCCUUCCUGCCGGUUAUUGACCCGCAGGCCUUCUUCCUCACUGAAAGUGCUUUACAACCCGAAGGCCUUCUUCACACACGCGGCAUGGCUGGAUCAGGGUUGCCCCCAUUGUCCAAUAUUCCCCACUGCUGCCUCCCGUAGGAGUCUGGGCCGUGUCUCAGUCCCAGUGUGGCUGAUCAUCCUCUCAGACCAGCUACGGAUCGUCGUCGUUGG